rnacentral:rRNA from 1 species
UACAGAGGGGGCGAGCGUUGUUCGGAAUUACUGGGCGUAAAGGGCGCGUAGGCGGCCUUCUAAGUCGAACGUGAAAUCCCCGGGCUCAACCCGGGAACUGCGUCCGAUACUGGGAGGCUUGAAUCCGGGAGAGGGAUGUGGAAUUCCAGGUGUAGCGGUGAAAUGCGUAGAUAUCUGGAGGAACACCGGUGGCGAAGGCGGCAUCCUGGACCGGUAUUGACGCUGAGGCGCGAAAGCCAGGG